AAGGGACCUUCACCUAUAAAGGUAGUCUCAAAAAAAAAAAAGAUUCUUAGAAUAAGUCUAUAAAUUUUUUUUCAUGGUUUUCUCUCUUUCAUGAGUUGUUUUUUUUCCCUCCUCCUAGACUGCUCCCUUUCUUGAUCCUUCCCUGAAAAGUUCAUUGAUCCUAUUCUCCUCAGGGCAACACUGUUGGGUUUACAUCCACAUCCAAUCAAGAUUUCUGGAUUCUUCUAUUCCCAUGACUUCUGCUCUUGGCCACAACUGUAAGACCUGGUUAUCAGAAAUCUACCUAUAACAGGUGAAAAGUUAAUGAACCAAAGCCAGAGCAUAAGAAAAGGUGAGAUUAUUUAAAAGAUUCUGAUCAAAAUAUCAUUCAUGUGGAUCAGGGAAAGAACCUUAAUACUA
rnacentral:lncRNA from 1 species